AAUAUGUGCAGUUUUGUACUAUUAACAUUCAACGUUUGACCGUUCGUCUUAUUUAAAAUUUUUUUAUGAUUAAUAUUUUUAUUGCUAUUAGAUGAUAAAACAUGAAUAGUACUUUAUGUGUGACUAAAUAUUUUCAAUUUUUUCACAAAUUUUUCAAAUAAGACGGACGGUCAAACGUUGGGCACUGAUAUCCACGGCUGCACUUAUU
rfam:Oryza barthii chromosome 12, whole genome shotgun sequence.